rnacentral:lncRNA from 1 species
GAGUCGCAGCUGGACGAGGAUGAGCAUGGCUUACAUACUAAGUACAUUCAUCGAAUGGAGCAUGUGCCCACCUGGCUUCAGAACACUCAUGUCUACAGCUGGCCCAAGAAUAAAAAAAACAUCCUGCUGCGGCUGCUGAGAGAGGAAGAGUAUGUGGCUCCUCCACGGGGGCCUCUGCCCACCCUUCAGGUGGUUCCCUUGUGACACCGUUCAUCCCCAGAUCACUGAGGCCAGGCCAUGUUUGGGGCCUUGUUCUGACAGCAUUCUGGCUGAGGCUGGUCGGUAGCACUCCUGGCUGGUUUUUUUCUGUUCCUCCCCGAGAGGCCCUCUGGCCCCCAGGAAACCUGUUGUGCAGAGCUCUUCCCCGGAGACCUCCACACACCCUGGCUUUGAAGUGGAGUCUGUGACUGCUCUGCAUUCUCUGCUUUUAAAAAAACCAUUGCAGGUGCCAGUGUCCCAUAUGUUCCUCCUGACAGUUUGAUGUGUCCAUUCUGGGCCUCUCAGUGCUUAGCAAGUAGAUAAUGUAAGGGAUGUGGCAGCAAAUGGAAAUGACUACAAACACUCUCCUAUCAAUCACUUCAGGCUACUUUUAUGAGUUAGCCAGAUGCUUGUGUAUCCUCAGACCAAACUGAUUCAUGUACAAAUAAUAAAAUGUUUACUCUUU